rnacentral:rRNA from 1 species
CGAGGCGCGGCUUACACAUGCAAGUCGAGCGGAAACGAUGAUAGCUUGCUAUCAGGCGUCGAGCGGCGGACGGGUGAGUAAUACUUAGGAAUCUGCCCAGUAGUGGGGGAUAGCUCGGGGAAACUCGAAUUAAUACCGCAUACACCCUACGGGGAAAAGGGGGCGCUUGCGCUCUCGCUAUUGGAUGAGCCUAAGUCGGAUUAGCUAGUUGGUGGGGUAAAGGCCUACCAAGGCGACGAUCUGUAGCUGGUCUGAGAGGAUGAUCAGCCACACCGGGACUGAGACACGGCCCGGACUCCUACGGGAGGCAGCAGUGGGGAAUAUUGGACAAUGGGGGGAACCCUGAUCCAGCCAUGCCGCGUGUGUGAAGAAGGCCUUUUGGUUGUAAAGCACUUUAAGCAGUGAAGAAGACUCUAUGGUUAAUACCCAUAGACGAUGACAUUAGCUGCAGAAUAAGCACCGGCUAACUCUGUGCCAGCAGCCGCGGUAAUACAGAGGGUGCAAGCGUUAAUCGGAAUUACUGGGCGUAAAGCGAGCGUAGGUGGCUUAAUAAGUCAGAUGUGAAAUCCCCGGGCUUAACCUGGGAACUGCAUCUGAUACUGUUAGGCUAGAGUAGGUGAGAGGGAGGUAGAAUUUCAGGUGUAGCGGUGAAAUGCGUAGAGAUCUGAAGGAAUACCGAUGGCGAAGGCAGCCUCCUGGCAUCAUACUGACACUGAGGUUCGAAAGCGUGGGUAGCAAACAGGAUUAGAUACCCUGGUAGUCCACGCCGUAAACGAUGUCUACUAGUCGUUGGGGAACUUGAUUCCUUAGUGACGCAGCUAACGCAAUAAGUAGACCGCCUGGGGAGUACGGCCGCAAGGUUAAAACUCAAAUGAAUUGACGGGGGCCCGCACAAGCGGUGGAGCAUGUGGUUUAAUUCGAUGCAACGCGAAGAACCUUACCUGGUCUUGACAUAUCUAGAAUCCUGCAGAGAUGCGGGAGUGCUUUCCGGAAUUAGAAUACAGGUGCUGCAUGGCUGGCGUCAGCUCAUGUCGUGAG